GCCGGAGUGGCGGAACAGGCAGACGCAAGGGACUUAAAAUCCCUCGGGCUUUUAGCCCGUACCGGUUCGACCCCGGUCUUCGGCACCA
rnacentral:tRNA from 1 species